UUUUUUCAACUUUGACC
rnacentral:rRNA from 1 species